GAAUGACUUGCUGCUCUACGCAGCAGACCUAGAGAGGCCUUUGUUGCGGGCGCCUCGCGGCAACGACCUUCGUCGCUUCUGCGCUUGCGUCGAAGGAGAGAUGGACUCUCUGGAGCUCGUGUGCAAUUUUGUAGGCAGCAGCGCGGCCGAAAUCGAGAAAGUCGUCGAGGACAAGUCAUUCCUGAAUCUCUGCAACCGGCCGCUACCUAAUGGGCAGUACCCAAUUCACGCCCUGGCGAGCAGGCACAACGCGAAGGGUGUGGAAUUGUUAUUGCAGGUGGGCGUCGAUGCAAACCAAGCGUCCGAAGAACCCGGGAACCGACUAGGCUUCACAGCAGCCCACUAUGCAGCGAUUGCCAACUGUGUGCAUGCGCUGGAGGUGCUGAAGCGUUACAACGCCGACCUCGAUCGCCCUGCCGCGGACCAGUGGACCCCGCUGCAUGCGGCCACGUUUCGCGGGCGGAGCGCGGCGGUCCGGGCACUUGUGGAGCUAGGCGUAAAUAUCGACUGCGCUACUAGCGAAGGGCACACCCCGCUCGUGUUCGCCGUUAACCUUGGUCGAAUCAAGGAUGCGCGCUAUCUGCUUCAGAACAACGCGAUGGUUCAGCUCAACGAUGCACACCACGACAACCUUCUUCACUAUACCCUGCACUACCGACUUGCACAGGCCGUGAAUGGGGACUACAAGCUCCCCGAUAGCCAGCUCGACAUCGCUGUGCUGCUGGUGCUCAACGGCGUUCGCCCGGAUGAGCAGAACGACGAGGGGGACACGCCCACGCGAUACGUAGCCGCCACACUGCCAUCGCUUCCCAAAGCGCUGGACCUUAUCUUCGCCAACGCCGACAAGCUGCAUUUUAUGCCGACAGAGUGCAACUAUCUUACUCUGGUCGCCGCUACAACGAGCUUCCUUGUCGACAAAACGGGCGUGGCGGCCGGGCAGGCGCAGACACUCGUCGAUAUUAUGGCAGCCCUGGAAAAAGAACGCAAGGCGAGUCGACCAAUGCGCACUGUCGCUGCGGACCGCGUAACAGAUGCUGCAGCCUCUCCCUCCCUGCCUGCAAGCCACCCAGCGGUACCUGCGGAGGUGCUGGAUCUACCCGGUGGAAAGCCCAACAGCAAGCAGUGCCCUUCCCUCGCACGAGCCGCGAAGGUGCAAGCGAAUGAGCACGCCGCCGAGAACGGGGGCAAGUGCCCGCACUGCCCCUUUGCCUUCCUCAUGAUGCGCUGUGAUAAGGGGACGCUUCUGCUCGUCGGGACAGCGUUUCUUCUUGGCUACUUCUGCGGUCAUAGAGCGCGCUGAAUGAGGCAGAGAGUUAGGUGUCGGCUCCCGCAAAACAAAACGCCGGCCGAUCCCUUUACUCGCCUGCCAUGCGGCGGACAUGCUCAUCACACACCAGAGUCGACAUUAUCGUUUCUUUUUUUUUUUUACGCUGUGGAACCAUCAGCUGAGAGUACGCUGGAACUGUGUAUUGCCGGCACCGCAGAGAGCACUCAUGUAUCUUAUGCUUUCAAAUUUCCCUCAUGACCCCUCACGACGGGGAAGGGGGGGAUAACACCACAGUGCGUGGCCCCUCAGCCUCCAGCAGCCGUGCUCUGUGUGGGGAGGAGCUGAGCAGCCCCACACUCCCCUCCCCCAACCCCAUGCGAGUGCAGCGCCACUGCUGGCGGUGACGUGGCCAAGCGCCUACGGCGUAGGGAGAUCAGAGCGACCUGCGGCGGUGAACAAGCUUGCGCCAUCCAUACGAUAGGCGAAGGUGGCAACGUGGCUCGAACGCAUUCCAGGUGGCCCCCGCACUGCCUGCUGGCGGGGGAGGCCGAACCCCCGGAGAGCUGCACUGUGUGGCGACCUGCUCAGCCGGUGGGUCGAGUUUGGCGUGGAGAGUGUGCCGAGACGACGAAGGCGGCGCAUCGCUGUACCGCGUGUGUGUGCGGCUGCUUUGCACUACUGGAUGUGCCCCCCCCCCCUCCCCCCUCCGGCGCCUCCUGCGGCAGGAGAGGCAGAGUGCGGCCGAACACACGCUGUAGGGCAGACACAAGAGGCACUUUCAAGUACGAGAAAAAGGCGGGAGGAUUACCUCA
rnacentral:misc_RNA from 1 species